ensembl:lncRNA
CACAGGUAAGAAUUGUGAAACUAUGAUACAAUGUCACUGGAGACUGCACUGUUUCAGAGAGAAGGAGAAAUCAGAUAACAGUGCUUCAUUUGGAGAAAGACCUAAAAGCCACACUGGGUAACAAGAAGGGAUGAAAGGGUAAACCUGUCUGUUCGUAUUUGCCUGUCUUCAACAUGGAGAACACAGCAAGCAUUCUGUCAAGAAAAAUGAGGAUAUUCUUUUUUGCUUCUUUGAAUCCUCAAAAGACGCAUCUUCUUUGUAAUAAAAAAGAAGUAUCUCAAUACUUAAGUCAAAAUAGCAAACUUUUCAAAGGCCAGAAACUUAGAGCUGGUCAUGCAACUUGUGAAUUGGGUACUGUACGUUUGUUUGAUAUGGCAUAAAACUGAGAGAACCUGAAAAAUUCCAUCUUCAAAAUGAUAGAUAUGGACAGUCCUUCCUCCACAAAGUAACCUUCAAUUAUUAACAGCAGGACUUGUGCUCAGCAGAGUAAAAAUUUUCCCACUAUCUGAAGUGAAGCUCCCUCCAACAGUCAUGGUUGAUUCUCUUUCUCUUAUCUUAUACAGAGACAUUAAUUCUUCCCUAGCACACAUAAAAAUAUUCAUAUGGAGGGAACUCUUCACCUACAGAGAAAUAUUCACAUACACACUGUUAAAGUCAGGUUCAGGAUGUCACUUACCCAGACACACACACAAAAAGAGAGAGAUUCAGUGUUAAAGCAUCUGCUUGUUCCUUAAUUCAUGCUUUUGCAGGAAAACAUAUUGGUCUGUGGGUUACAUAAGCUAACUUAUAACACCAAGACAUUUGUGGUGCUGUGAGUGCAAAGACUAAGGAUAGUAUACUCAUAAAUGAGGUUAAAGGAAUUACUCCCAUGCAACUAGCUGUGAAUCCAGCCAUCAGAAUUACGUGACAAGUUGUCCUCAUAUUUUAUUUCUUUAUAGGCUUAAGAAAUAAUGGAAGUGUUUUAUGUCUAUUAAUCUUGUUAAUUACAACUCAGGUGGAGCUCUUAUUAUUUUCGGAUACAAUAUUCAACAAUUCUUGUGUAUGGACUAUCUGCUAAUGUAAAUGUCAAUUGGUGUGUACCAAGUCUACGUUCUGUAACAUCAAGGACUAUGGUACCAGAGGGGCCCCUUAGUAUGCAAAUUAUUGACACAAUAGAACAUAGCAACUCUUUUGAAAUCAUUAUGUUUUAUUGUGUCAGGGUCUAGUUGAGGACUCUUUAAUCUAAGGAUUCUUGAGAAGAUAAAAUCUAAUAGUUCCUCUGGAGCUAUAAAGGUCUCUGAUGUCAUAGGCUAUUUGGACACUCCUUAUUGCAGUAUGAAGAUUAUUAAUACGCUGUGUGUAAUGACUUUGUGACUCCUUUGUGGUCUAUUGUGUCUAUCUACAAUUUUAUAAGCUUGGUCAUCACGAUGGUAUGUGAGUCUCCGCCACACAGACACAAAAAAUAAUACUGAAGGAAAAAAAAAAACCUUUCUCUUUCUUUCCCUCUGCCAUCCACCUUGUAAGGAAACUUCAAUAUUUUACUGUCCUGUGUGAAAAAAAAAAAAAAAAAACACCAUUAAAAAAAAAAUGAAGUGUAGAGAGUAGUGUUUUGAAACACUUUAUGAGAAAUUUGAGUCGGAUAGAUUCACUUUGCAUUUAGUUUUGAGAGAUUAUUGUGGCCAAACAUAUUUCAUCUGAUGGUGUCAGUGGAAUUCUGCCCAGUAUAACACUCUUUCCAGGCAAAGCAACUUCACUCUGUAAUUCUUUUUAUGGAAAUUACUCUCAGCAUUGUCCGGGUGUCCGUGUCUGUGCAUGUCAACAUGAAUGUUUUACUACUAUUAGCUGCAAGUUUCCCUCUAGAUCAGACAUCGAAGAGAGUAAUAACUAAAAAAG